AAAAAGUGUGUGGUUUUGGAAACAAUCAUUCACGUAAGCCAAGUACUUGUCGUGAAGCUCAAUCACUUUUCUUACAAAAACCUGUUCCUGCAGACCAACUAUGUCCUUUUUCUCGGCCUUCUUGUUACUUGCAGCAUCUUCUGCCUGUUUGACCAAUGCUGUUCCUUCAGCAGUGACAUGCUGCUUAAAUAUGUUGGAAACUGGGUCCAAUCCCUUGGGUAUUUUGGAGAAGAGGCGGAACAUCCUUG
rnacentral:misc_RNA from 1 species